rnacentral:rRNA from 1 species
GGGGUGCUCGAGUGGCGAACGGGUGAGUAACACGUGAGUAACCUGCCCUUGACUUUGGGAUAACUUCAGGAAACUGGGGAUAAUACCGGAUAGGAGCUCCUGCUGCAUGGUGGGGGUUGGAAAGUUUCGGCGGUUGGGGAUAGACUCGCGGCUUAUCAGCUUGUUGGUGGGGUAGUGGCUUACCAAGGCUUUGACGGGUAGCCGGCCUGAGAGGGUGACCGGCCACAUUGGGACUGAGAUACGGCCCAG